AGCAAACAGAAGGCAGUAACCACAGUUUCCAGGCUCUGCUGCCUUGUCUUUAUCAUCCCCAGUUACCAGCAUUAACUUGUGCUGCUGAGUCAGAGUGAAGAAGUGAGAACAGCUUUGCAUGAUUGGUGAUUUUCAACAUUUUCUGGAGGACGAGGUGUACUUCCUAUGUUACGUGUGCUCCAAGAGUGAAUCAUAAAAACCAACCAAAUAUAGCCCCUUGCAAAUACAGAUGGGAGGGCUUGAAAUGAUAGGGCGGUGAUAACCACAUCAUAAAAGCAGCUGUCUGAGAUUGUCCUCCAGUCUUACAGCAAAAGAAGAAAGAAGUCACUUACGGACUCUCAGCAGCACAGCUUCCUUGUUUUUGGAACCAGCACGUAACUCUGAGACAAUGCAUAAAAAUAUUCUUCUACUGACUGUCUGCCUCCUCAGCACAGUAAUUCUGUGUGGAGCCAAUUCUACAACCACAGCAAUUGCGCCAACUGUCACAACUGGAAUUACUGUAAAUGGAACGACCGACAAUGGAACAACCACAGCUGGGCCAACCAUAAAUGGAACAAUCACAGCUGGGCCAACCGUAAAUGAAACGACCACAGCUGGGCCAACCGUAAAUGGAACGACCACAGCUGGAACAACCCUAAAUGGAACAACCAUAUCUGGAACUACCCUAAAUGGAACAACCCCAGCUGAAAGUACUGCAAAUGUAACAACCCCAGCUGGACCUAACACCACAGAGGAACAGCCAGGACCCUCACAGUCUAGUGGACUUUCGGGGGGUGCCAUAGCAGGCAUUGUAAUCGGCUCUAUUGCUGGGGUGGGGGUAAUUGGUGGAGCUAUCUAUGGUGGGCUGAAGUACACUGGAAGGAUCUGACACCAGCCGGAAGAGGAUUUAAUGAGUUAGUUAUAAGCUGAAAUAUUUACUAUGCUAACAUCAGAGUUAAAAUUGGCAGGCACUGAUAAGUGGACAAUAAAAGAAAUCUUGUCUGAAACGCACCACAGCAGAAUAAACUGCUACGUAUGUCUUAAUCCUGAAUGACAUCAUGGGCCAAGAGGAAGCCAUGAAAACUGUUCUACUUGUAUGUAUUUUAUAUUUUUCUGUAUUAGGAACUGUUCCACUUACUUUGAAUUAGGAUGGAAACUUCUCGUAUAAUCACUUUUUUAAAUAAAAUAAAUAAAUAAAAAUAAUCUCCCUCACUGUUCUCCACCUCUCUGGAUUUCAAUAUGACGGGUGGACUCUUAUAAAAAAUAAACACCUUGAUUGACUUGAGGGUGGAGCAUGUGUGUCCUGAGAUUCCAGAGAAAAAUAUAACGCUGUAUCUGCACUACUGUAACUUAUCAUAUGGAGCACAAAAACUGUGAAUAAGAACAGAUUAUUUUUAGGUAAUUUUACGUGAAUAUUGUUGAUUUUAUUUUAAUGACUGACUGGGCUCUAAACCCAAAUUCUACAUUUUUUUGUCGAAAAGCUUUCCAAUAUGUAUGUAUUUCUAUGUAUUUAAUAAAGAGCUGUUCCCCUCCCUUCCUCUCAA